UACGUAGGGGGCAAGCGUUGUCCGGAAUCAUUGGGCGUAAAGAGCGUGUAGGCGGCUCGGUAAGUCCGCUCUGAAAGCCCGGGGCUCAACCCCGGGAGGCGGGCGGAUACUGUCGGGCUAGAGUCCGGAAGAGGCGAGUGGAAUUCCUGGUGUAGCGGUGAAAUGCGCAGAUAUCAGGAGGAACACCACUGGCGAAGGCAGCUCGCUGGGACGGUACUGACGCUGAGACGCGAAAGCGUGGGGAGCAAACAGG
rnacentral:rRNA from 1 species